AGAGGCAGACUCGUUGGCCAAUUGGAUCCAUGUCACGUAGUACAGAUUCACACCACAAUGAUUCACAGUCACUUCCAUCCCAUCAUCCAACCCCAAACCCAGUCCCGCCACAUCCCUAGCAUCCUGAAGAGGACUUGAUCCACUCACAAUCCAACCCUCAAGACUCACAUAGUGAGCAAGAAGGUACAAACUCCAUGUCAUCUACGGCCAAGAAAGGAAGAGGAAUAUCAAGACAAAUUUCAAAGUGGGGAAAGGAAAAGAUUCGUAUUGAAUUUGAUGCUGAAGGACAACCAGUUGGGGAGAUGGCAACUAAGUUGUAAACCCAACUAGGUGUGAUGGUAAGGAGUAUUGCUCCCCUUACAUUUGCUGAUUGGAGAUCACCAGGGAUGGAACCAUAUAAGGAGCGCAUCUGGCAAGAGGUCUUGGAUAACAUUGAUGUACCCACAACAUGGAGAUCAAUUUGGUUGCAACAUGCUUCCAAGAAGUGGAGAGAGUACAAAGCCACCUUGAAGAGGCAUUAUGAUUGCCAUGAGACAGAUGCAACUCAUCUGUCAAAAAUACCGCCUGGGGUGGACCCAGAAUAGUGGAAGGUUCUUAUGGAGUAUUGGGGAUGUGAGCAAGCACUCUAUACCUAGUUCUAAUAUCAUAUUACAAGUAGGAACGUAGUGGGACAAAUCGUGUCAAUCGAGAUAAGCAAA